rnacentral:tRNA from 1 species
CAAAAAGUAUCUUAAAUUAAAGAAUUGAAUUUUUAAUUCAAAUAUGGCUUUAAAGCUCUUUUUGA